rnacentral:lncRNA from 1 species
CCACUCCAAACGCAAGAGUUUGGAUCUACUAACCCCAGACUCCCCGCCCAUCCCACUCCCUCCCCUGCUGCUGCUCUUUAUCCUCCUGGCUCUAAUUGCUUCUCUUUGCUUUCCUUAAUUUUGUCGUUUUUCCAGACAUCAGUCGAAUCCUUUCUAUAUUUUGUCCUCUUUUUUACUCUUCAAGUAGGUAAGGCUAUGGAUUUUGCUCUGAGCUCUAUUGAUGCGUUUUCAUGACUCUAUGACCUGCACUGUGAGUUUUGAUGACUCUUAGACCAAGAGUGUCCAGGUAGGGUGACUUACUCUCAAGUGAAAAAGAUGCUGUUGGUACCUAGCCCUCUGCCCCCAUGUUAGGUUUCUGUGCUUUGUAAUAAAUGGCCGAAAACUUAGUGCCUUAAAAGAAAGGACAAUUACCCAGACACUGCCAUCUGGGUUUUUGUGGCUCAGGAGUUGAGGCCUGAUGCAGCUCGGUCCCCGGCUGUAAUCAGGUGUGAGCGGCUGAGAUCUCACCUCAUCGACACGUGGCAACGUGGUUUUUCCUUCGUCCAGAAGCAGCUCUCUGGCUUCAGGGUGGCACAGUCACUCUUUUAAGAAUUCUUCGCCUGACUAGGUCAGAUCCAUCUAAGGAUUUCCUUUCUGAUGAAUUUUCAGUGGGAUUUGAAUUAUAUCUAAAAUUCCUUCAUUCCCCACCCUCGUAUGAUAGAAUCACACCUACCUGGGGAGGGGCCUCUCACCCCUUUGCCAUGUUCUACUGGGGACAACUGGGCGCUGGCUCCAUCCACUCUCUCCAUCCACUACCCCAAGGGCGUGACGCUGGGCAAUCUUGGUGUCUGGCCAGCACACGUUCCUCUGUCCUCUGGGCUGGUCUUCAGGACGGUUGUCCAUGGUGUCUGCUCUGCCUUUCCUCUUCGCUGCCCAAGGCGUUUCUCCACGGCCUUAGGCCUGCAGCUCAGCCAGAAAGGCCGGAGGGCGUGUUCUCCAGAAGGGCCUUUAGGGGAGACAGGGAUCCACUGGUAAAUCCCCCACGGACCUUUCCCUCAAUGGGAAAAAUGCUUAAGUGCAUUCGGAGGGGCCCCAGCGAAGCUCAGACCCAGUCACCGCCCCCCGUGACUGCCUCAAAACAAAACAAAAAAAUCGCGCGUCGUGGUUUUCCUUUGUGCUCCCUCUCCCUUCCCCAGGUCCUCGCGUUUGUCUGUUUCCCACCCAAACGCAUCCUUCUCUCAGGUUCUGCUUUUGGGGAACCUCCCAGACAACCCAUGUGGUUGGAUUUUGCAGGGCCUCCAUAUCCUUGGUUUCCGCCUCUGCAGAUGCACCCACACAGGGGUCGAGACUUUGGGGGGGGGGAGAAAAAUGCCAGAAAGCUUUACAAAGCAAAACUUGAAUGUGCCCCAUGCAGGCAUCUAUUUGCAUAGUAUUUACAUCGUAUUGGUUAUUUUAAGUAUUUUGGAGACGGUUUAAAGUAUGAGAGGAAGGGUGUAGGUUCCAUGCAAAUACCACAGCCGUUUCCUAUAAGGGAUUUGAUGACUCAGAUUUUAAUUUCAGUGUGGGCUCUUCGGUGGUCACUUUUUAGUAUACCUUCCAGAUAAAGAGUUUGUUUCCUGAUUAUGGAGUUGGAUAUAUAGCAGUUAAGUCUAUCUUACCUUGUCCUGAUUGCUGUUUUAUUAUCCAUAUCCUUAGUCAUUUUUUGCUCUGACCUGAGGGAGGUAAAUUAAAAUUUUCUUUUACAAAUGUGUUUUUCUUUCCUGGUACUUCUGCUUUGUGAUUUUGAUGAUUUCUUAUUUGAUGCAUGGCUAUUAAUUACUGGGAGAGCUGAUCGUGGAGUUAUUUUUAUAAGCACAGCCGUACUUGUCUUGUGUAAUAGUUUUGUCCCGAAUUCAAGCUUGCUGGAUGUAAACAUUGUUCUGUGUCUAUUGCUUGAUAGCAUUGGCCCAUCUUUUAUUUUCAAUCAUUCUUUAUCACUUUGCUGCCCUUGUGUCGGGAAUAUAAUUGAGUUUGCUCUUCGCUUUAAGCGGAGUCUUUUUCUUGAUGCAGGCUCCCUUUAUGUGACAUUUGCUUUUAGUUACAUCUUCGCUUUCUCUUGUGGAAUUGGAUAAUUGGAGUCAAAACAUUGUUUCCUUCAAAAAACUAUUUUUAAAUACAAGUUGGCUAACGCUCCCAAAUCUCAAUUGUAUUUUCGCUACAGAGUAUACAUCGUUCAAGGCCAUCCUGUAUAUAAGUUAGAAAGGAGCAAACACGUGCAGGUGCCUGUACACACACGUGUGCAUGCACGUCCCUGUACACACACGUAGCUAAUGUGACUGGAGCAGAUUUGGAAGGUUUAUAUGAACCUGGUUUAUUUGGUUUGAUUUGCAACUGCCCUCUUUAGUUUUAUAGAAAGAAGAACCCAAUUCUCACAAUGCAACCUUUUUUUUUUUUUUUUUGGCAAGUGAACAAUAUUUUGGGAUGUAAAGGAGCUCUUUGACAGGUUUCUUCAGAGACCUAACUUAAGAACUAGGCACCAAGGGGUGAGGGACUGAUGGGGAGUUGGGGUUAGUGGCUGCAGAUUAUUGCCUCUAGAACGGAGAUGCCAUGAGGUCCUGCUGCACAGCAUCUGGAACCGCGUCCAGUCUCGGGAUAGAGCCUGAUGGAAGAUGAUAUAAGGAAAGGAAUGUCCAUAUACGUAUGACGGGGUCACUUUGCUGUGCAGCAGAAAGGAGCACCCUGCCGUAAAUCAACUAUAAUUUUAAAAAGUGGAUUUUUGUUUGUUUUUUUAAAAGCUUGGCAGCCGAAAAAGUUCUUGGGUUAACCGGAGCAUUGAUGCAGGCCUGUUCUGAGCUCUCACAUGGAUGGCUGAUCUGUGUCUAAUGCUGGAUGUGGUGAUUAUGACGCAAAGGACAGGGAGCCCGUUGUGUUAAACGUGAUAGAUUCUCACUGAGAAUCAAAGGGGUAUAAAGAGGGAGAGAAAAGGACUGAGUUUCCAGCAGGGAGGGAGAGCAUCUCCUUGGUAGAGGUGGUGUCCCUUUUAAAACUUUCUUCUAACCUUUUUGUUAGAUGUAUUCGUAGGUGUUUUUUCUGAUAAUUUGAAUUCCUUUCUUUGUUUUUUCCCCUAGGGCUUGUUUUUAGAACCAUAACUGUAUACAUUGAAUCCAUUGUUUCUUUAGAUAGUAGCUUUUGACUGUUUAUAACAGUAAGAGUUAAUAUAUUUUCACUUGUGUCCUCAUUUCUUCUGAUACUCCAUUGUAGCUGAUUUUAUUACUUUUUACUUCUGCCAAUAGCUGCCUGUAUAAUUUAGGUAAACUUCGUAUAUCUUAAUUUUUUAUUAUCAGCUGUUCAGUGGUGGGGCUCCAUGUUCACUGUGCUCUCCCAAUUUUUGGCAUUUGUUAGGUAAAUGCUAUUUGGUAGCUUGAAUUUUGCUUUUUUUCUCCUCAGCUAAAAUUGAUACUCAUGGCCUCGCCUGGUUCUUUCUAUUGAUUAUGGUAGAAGUAGUAUCAUGGUUUUUUCCCCUAUUCGUUACAAACUAUUUUACCAGUUCUUAUUUUUUUGUAAUUUGUGACAUAGGAAGUGCACGUUUUUUGUUUUGGGCUGUACCCAUGUCAUGUGGAAGUUCCCAGGCCAGGGAUCUAACCCUCGCCACUGUAGGAACCAGAGCCACGGCAGUGAAAAUGCCAGAUCCUUAACCGACUGAGCCACAGGGGAGCUCGUAAAGUAUAAAUAUUUUAGUGCUGUGAUAUUUCUUAUGUUCUAUCAAAGUUUCUUUUAAUUUUGUGUCCAUUCUUCCCCCGCUUGAGAGCAGAUGAAUACUCUGAUACUUCCUCUGGUUGACUGAAUAUUUAGAUAGGACUCUGCCUCAUCUGGAGUUUAAGGGUGUGCUUUGUCAUCAGAACUGUAAGUUUUCUUAUUUUCUUAUUUGAAAGAUGACUCCCUGGCGAGGACCUCUGGUGGGAAAGUGGAGUGAUAGAGCCUUGAUGUUCCUUGUUUGCUCUUUCCCAGACCAUCCGUGACUACACAAUCCAGUGUCUGCACUAAUAAAAAAAGAGUCACCAGGUUAGGACCAAACUGUUGGAAAAAUCAAGAAAAACAUCACCUGAGCUGCAUUGAGUGAAAUUUCAAUUUCCUCUUGAAAACUUAAAAGACAGGUUAUAUUUUGGAAAGUCGUCCAAAAAUGAUUUUCAACACUUGCUAGGAGAUAGAAUGAAAAUAAACCAGAGUCCAAAUUUAGCCCAACAACCCUCACAUAUGGUUUUAAGCUAAUACAUUUUUCUUGACAGCUGAACGAAAACUAAGAAGGUAAUUAAUGAUUAUAUUCAUAGGUUUUUCCUACUAUGGCUUUAAUCAGCAUUUGGUUUUACUUACAUUUAUGACGGACUCAAAAUAAAUGACUUUUUUGACUAAAUAUUAUCACCAAAUGCGGGUUGUUGCGUUUAUUCUGCCACUCAGUCAUGGAAUCACCGUAGUUUGAAACAUCUCGAGGUUGUCUUGUACAGUUGUCUUCAGGGCUGACAAUGCCUGCCUUGUGCAGCUCUCGCUAUACUUUGAAGGAGCAUCCAAGCAUUGGCAGCGGUCUAAAGAAAUUUGGAUUAAAGUUUGGGAAUACGUUUGCUGGAUCUGCCGGAUUACUAAUAAAAAGCCUAUGAUGCUGUAUCACUUAGGAUGUUGCCUUUCGCUUCAAGUAACAUAAUGUAGAUUCUAAUAAAAAAAAUGAUAGGGGAGUUCCCGUUGUGGCGCAGUGGUUAACGAAUCCGACUAGGAACCAUGAGGUUGCGGGUUCGGUCCCUGCCCUUGCUCAGUGGGUUAAGGAUCCGGCGUUGCCGUGAGCUGUGGUGUAGGUUGCAGACGCGGCUCGGAUCCCGCGUUGCUGUGGCUCUGGCGUAGGCCGGUGGCUACAGCUCCGAUUCAACCCCUAGCCUGGGAACCUCCAUAUGCCGUGGGAGCGGCCCAAAGAAAU